rnacentral:rRNA from 1 species
AGAGUUUGAUCAUGGCUCAGAUUGAACGCUGGCGGCAGGCCUAACACAUGCAAGUCGAACGGUAACAGGAAGCAGCUUGCUGCUUCGCUGACGAGUGGCGGACGGGUGAGUAAUGUCUGGGAAGCUGCCUGAUGGAGGGGGAUAACUACUGGAAACGGUAGCUAAUACCGCAUAAUGUCGCAAGACCAAAGAGGGGGACCUUCGGGCCUCUUGCCAUCGGAUGUGCCCAGAUGGGAUUAGCUUGUUGGUGGGGUAACGGCUCACCAAGGCGACGAUCCCUAGCUGGUCUGAGAGGAUGACCAGCCACACUGGAACUGAGACACGGUCCAGACUCCUACGGGAGGCAGCAGCGGGGAAUAUUGCACAAUGGGCGCAAGCCUGAUGCAGCCAUGCCGCGUGUAUGAAGAAGGCCUUCGGGUUGUAAAGUACUUUCAGCGGGGAGGAAGGGAGUAAAGUUAAUACCUUUGCUCAUUGACGUCACCCGCAGAAGAAGCACCGGCUAACUCCGUGCCAGCAGCCGCGGUAAUACGGAGGGUGCAAGCGUUAAUCGGAAUUACUGGGCGUAAAGCGCACGCAGGCGGUUUGUUAAGUCAGAUGUGAAAUCCCCGGGCUCAACCUGGGAACUGCAUCUGAUACUGGCAAGCUUGAGUCUCGUAGAGGGGGGUAGAAUUCCAGGUGUAGCGGUGAAAUGCGUAGAGAUCUGGAGGAAUACCGGUGGCGAAGGCGGCCCCCUGGACGAAGACUGACGCUCAGGUGCGAAAGCGUGGGGAGCAAACAGGAUUAGAUACCCUGGUAGUCCACGCCGUAAACGAUGUCGACUUGGAGGUUGUGCCCUUGAGGCGUGGCUUCCGGAGCUAACGCGUUAAGUCGACCGCCUGGGGAGUACGGCCGCAAGGUUAAAACUCAAAUGAAUUGACGGGGGCCCGCACAAGCGGUGGAGCAUGUGGUUUAAUUCGAUGCAACGCGAAGAACCUUACCUGGUCUUGACAUCCACGGAAGUUUUCAGAGAUGAGAAUGUGCCUUCGGGAACCGUGAGACAGGUGCUGCAUGGCUGUCGUCAGCUCGUGUUGUGAAAUGUUGGGUUAAGUCCCGCAACGAGCGCAACCCUUAUCCUUUGUUGCCAGCGGUCCGGCCGGGAACUCAAAGGAGACUGCCAGUGAUAAACUGGAGGAAGGUGGGGAUGACGUCAAGUCAUCAUGGCCCUUACGACCAGGGCUACACACGUGCUACAAUGGCGCAUACAAAGAGAAGCGACCUCGCGAGAGCAAGCGGACCUCAUAAAGUGCGUCGUAGUCCGGAUUGGAGUCUGCAACUCGACUCCAUGAAGUCGGAAUCGCUAGUAAUCGUGGAUCAGAAUGCCACGGUGAAUACGUUCCCGGGCCUUGUACACACCGCCCGUCACACCAUGGGAGUGGGUUGCAAAAGAAGUAGGUAGCUUAACCUUCGGGAGGGCGCUUACCACUUUGUGAUUCAUGACUGGGGUGAAGUCGAAACAAGGUA